CACGGGCCCAGGGUGGGAUUAGCCUCACUGGGUCAUCCCUCGAGGUGCAGAGAAAGGCCCUGGGGCCCAGCGGCCAGACCCGGGGAGCAGGAAGCCACGAGGCCAUGCCGGGCUGCACCGAGGCCCAGGGGGUGGGCCUCCAGCAAACCUGCAGGGCACCAGAG
rnacentral:lncRNA from 1 species